AACAAAAAUGUAUCUGAACCCUAUCAUGUUAUACAAAUCUCGUAAAUACCCAGAACAUAGAAGACAGAGGUGGGAUUUUCAUUGUUAUCCAUAUCUCAUCUUACCACCUCUUAUCUAACCAUUGCGCACUUGACCUCUCCCCUCCUCUCACUCUCAUGUCCACAGCCACCACAUCCACAUACUGCCGAUCACAUCCACACAUCCUCUGUCCACAACAUCCACCAACACAGCAUCUAUCACCACUUUCUUCUCCUCACGUCUUCCACCUCUGUGUCUACAUCUACCACCACAGCAUCCACAGCCACAGCAUCCACCACCUCCUCCUCUUCCUCACGUCUACGACCUCCGUAUCCACAUCCACCAUCACAACAUCCACAUCCACUUCCUCCUCCUCACGUCUUCCACCUUCGUGUCCACAUCCACCACCACAAUAUCCACAGCCACAACAUCCACCACCAUCUCCUCCUCCUCACGUCUUCCAACUCCGUUUCCACAUCCACCACCAUAGCAUCCACAACCACCUUCUCCUCACGUCUUCUACUUCCGUAUCCACAUCUGCCACCACGGCAUCUACCAUCGCGGCAUCCACCACCACAAUAAGACAAAAAAACUAAAUUUUCAUAUAUGAGUCUGUUAGAUAUAUCUAUGAAAUUAGGAAUAGAGAAACAUGAUUGAGAAUAGAUUUGAGUUUCUGGAUUCAUGGUGUGACUCACUAAUGGUCGAGGAUGAAGAGCUGGAGAGGCUAAUCCGGCGAACCAGUCUCAGAUCGGGUAAAAUCUAGAGGUGGAGACAGAGAGCUUGAACAAAGUGACGGCUCCGACGCUUCACCAAACACGCCAUGACGGAGAUCUUGUUACAUAAGAGAGAAAUCAGGGCAAGAGGGAUAUUUAUAGUGAUUGUGAUUCUACCUCUUGAUCAAGGAGAAGAAAGGGGAUCGAGAAACAUGGAUUAUGGUUCAAUUUCUCAGACCCUUAUGUUGGAGCAAGAGGUUAGGAUUUGAUUUGUUUGUGUUUUCACGAUUUAGAGAUUUCCAAGAGAUAAUGUUCUUGUUUUUUUUUUAAUAGUUUAUUUGUUUUAAAGAAAUAGUUAGAAAAAUAACUAAAGACACAUGAUCACCUAAAGAUGCCAU
rnacentral:lncRNA from 1 species